GACGAACGCUGGCGGCGUGCCUAAUACAUGCAAGUUGAGCGAUGAAGAUUGGUGCUUGCACCAAUUUGAAGAGCAGCGAACGGGUGAGUAACGCGUGGGGAAUCUGCCUUUGAGCGGGGGACAACAUUUGGAAACGAAUGCUAAUACCGCAUAACAACUUUAAACAUAAGUUUUAAGUUUGAAAGAUGCAAUUGCAUCACUCAAAGAUGAUCCCGCGUUGUAUUAGCUAGUUGGUGAGGUAAAGGCUCACCAAGGCGAUGAUACAUAGCCGACCUGAGAGGGUGAUCGGCCACAUUGGGACUGAGACACGGCCCCAACUCCUACGGGAGGCAGCAGUAGGGGAUCUUCGGCAAUGGACGAAAGUCUGACCGAGCAACGCCGCGUGAGUGAAGAAGGUUUUCGGAUCGUAAAACUCUGUUGGUAGAGAAGAACGUUGGUGAGAGUGGAAAGCUCAUCAAGUGACGGUAACUACCCAGAAAGGGACGGCUAACUACGUG
rnacentral:rRNA from 1 species